GACGGACCGGACGAACGUUAUUCGGAAUUACUGGGCUUAAAGAGUGCGUAGGCGGCCUGGCAGGUUGGGUGUGAAAUCCCUCGGCUCAACCGAGGAACUGCGCUCAAAACCGCCAGGCUUGAGGGAGACAGGGGUGAGCGGAACUGAUGGUGGAGCGGUGAAAUGCGUUGAUAUCAUCAGGAACACCGGUGGCGAAGGCGGCUCACUGGGUCUUCUCUGACGCUGAGGCACGAAAGCUAGGGUAGCGAAC
rnacentral:rRNA from 1 species